GGGCCUCUGCAGCUGGCGUUGCGUGGACGGUAGCUGGGGUUUGGAUAAACUAAACAUCCGGGUAAAUUAAACAUUUCUGGGUAAACUAAACAGUGGACGUGUAUUAGACGUGUUCUAGCGCAGAUGUGUGCACGUGUGCCCACAUGGGGUGUCCACUUCUUCCAAAAAAUACCCGUCUGUCAGAGGUCGGACACGUCGCCUCCUGGCUAGCUAGCCAUCCCCUGGAGGCAACUUUCCCCCAUCACGUGCAUCUCAC
rnacentral:lncRNA from 1 species